CUUAAAUUUUGAUAUACGCCCUGUGCAAUUUCGUACAAUAUUGACCGAGAGAGUUGCGUUUAAAGUUGAAUAAACAUUUUGGGAAGUGUCGAGAAUUAGCUAAAAACGGCCUGUUAAACUAAUUUGACAACCGUCAACAUUGUAUCGUAAAUAUUCGUUUCAAUGAAGUUAAGUUUAAAUUUAAAAUGUUUAUUGGAUGGAUGUGCUCUUUUAUUUUCGUUUAAGGUCUUUGGGAAUGCAUGAAAAUUAAAUUAUGAAGCGAUUUUGAUUAAGAGAUUUAUUCUAAAUAUUCAAUGACCCUGGGGAAUCAAAUUCUAAUGUUCCAAGAAAGAAACUUCAAGUGUUUUUUUAUAAACACGCCUCGUUUAACGAAGGACCAAAGAGUUUCGAUAUGUUUAGAAGAUGCAAGGGUAAAUAAUGCUCGUGAGGUUAUACCGGCAGCAUUGGGCAGGUCUCUGACAACGAACGUGUACUUUCUGACUAUAGUGCGUCUAGGUUAUUGCUGUAUUAAAUAUUUGAUAGGUCGUUUUUGGCUAAUUCUCGACACUUUC